UAUAAACAUAUAUAUGAGCCUCACUAUGUGAAAAGAGGGUUUAAUGCAUGUGCUUAAAGUGUUGUUCCAAAUUAGCCUGUGCAGUGCGCAGUCUAAUCAGGGAUGACUCUUUCUGCCCAAACAUGAUUUUUGCUAAGAAGAGACUUUCAUCAUUAAAUGAACAAAAAUCAUAAAAGCGGAAAGUGUUUUUCCUGAUUAGUCUGUGCGGACUGCACAGGCUAAUCUGGAACGACACUUUACUAACAUGCAUUAAAUCCUCUUUUUACAGAGCAUGGCCCAUAUAUAUAUCACCCUAGAGUAAAAUAUGCCUAGGUGUCAGUUCCACUUCACCCUAGAGUAAAAUAUGCCUAGGUGUCAGUUCCACUUCACCCUAGAGUAAAAUAUGCCUAGGUGUCAGUUCCACUUCACCCUAGAGUAAAAUAUGCCUAGGUGUCAGUUCCACUUCACCCUAGAGUAAAAUAUGCCUAGGUGUCAGUUCCACUUCACCCUAGAGUAAAAUAUGCCUAGGUGUCAGUUCCACUUCACCCUAGAGUAAAAUAUGCCUAGGUGUCAGUUCCACUUCACCCUAGAGUAAAAUAUGCCUAGGUGUCAGUUCCACUUCACCCUAGAGUAAAAUAUGCCUAGGUGUCAGUUCCACUUCACCCUAGAGUAAAAUAUGCCUAGGUGUCAGUUCCACUUCACCCUAGAGUAAAAUAUGCCUAGGUGUCAGUUCCACUUCACCCUAGAGUAAAAUAUGCCUAGGUGUCAGUUCCACUUCACCCUAGAGUAAAAUAUGCCUAGGUGUCAGUUCCACUUGCUUGUGAAACUGGCUUCUUAAAUUUAUUCAGAGGGAUACCAUAUCUGAAACAUUCACCAAAAAUUUAUCAGUAGUUUGCAUGGAUCAUCUAUGAUGAUAUUCUUGCAUGGUGACCCUGCAUUUGGGGCAAUUUGGGAAAAAGUCAAUGUCAUUGUUGGUUGCUUAAAUAAGAGAACAUGUUUCUCUUCAAUCACUUAAGAUAGGAAAAGAUAUUUUGAUGACAUUAAUGUGUAUUUAGCAUACACACUGAUCCAGUAUGGGAUUGCAUUUGAAGUAAACCUGUCAAGGUCACUUUUACUAAAAAAUAGAUCAACAAUUUAUUUCUAUAAUUUUAGUUUGGAUGGAAGUAGUUUGCUACAAUUGUGAUCAUAGGUAGCUUACAUGCUGAUCAAGUGUGGGAUAUUAUUUGAGGCCAGUUGGGACAUGAUCAGUGAUACUAAAAACGAAAAAUUUAUACAAAAUAGCUUGCGUUUAAUUGGAGGUAUUGUGCUGUAAAUGUGCUUGUAUUUAGUUUACAUUUAUGUAGUUUACAUGCAGACGUAGUUUAGGUGGUCUUCUUGUCUAGGUAAUUGUUAAAAUAGGGAAAUGGUUUGUACUGAUAAACUUAAGUUUCAUAGAAGUAUUAUGGACAAAGCAUUUUAACUACUAUUCAAAUUCACAAGUCAGCAGGAUGACUGAGAGCCUGUUAGCAGUUACCUCAAGAGGUCCCAUACUCAAAACCCAGGAAAUUCGGAUUUUGUUAUUUGAUUUGUUUUCAUUCUUAUAAUAAUUAUUUGAAAAUAUUCCAAACCAAACAGUUUUGUUUAAUAAAAAAAUCAUUAAAAUCUCUGUACAAAAAGUACAACAAUUGUAGGCAACUCUGUUCAAAAGGUUAGUUUGUAUCCCUUAAGGUAUGUGCAGGGAGUUAUGUUCUCU